UACAGAGGUCUCAAGCGUUGUUCGGAUUCAUUGGGCGUAAAGGGUGCGUAGGCGGCGGAGUAAGUCAGGUGUGAAAUCCCGGGGCUCAACCCUGGAACUGCACUUGAUACUGCUUUGCUAGAGUACUGGAGAGGAGACUGGAAUUUACGGUGUAGCAGUGAAAUGCGUAGAUAUCGUAAGGAAGGCCAGUGGCGAAGGCGAAGUCUCUGGACAGUUACUGACGCUGAGGCACGAAGGCCAGGGGAGCAAACGGG
rnacentral:rRNA from 1 species